UACGUAGGCAGCAAGCGUUGUUCGGAAUUACUGGGCGUAAAGGGCUCGUAGGCGGCCAACUAAGUCCGACGUGAAAUCCUCAGGCUUAACCUGGGAACUGCGUCGGAUACUGGAUGGCUUGAAUUCGGGAGAGGGAUGCAGAAUUCCAGGUGUAGCGGUGAAAUGCGUAGAUAUCUGGAGGAAUACCGGUGGCGAAGGCGGCAUCCUGGACCGACAUUGACGCUGAUGAGCGAAAGCUAGGGGAGCAAACGGG
rnacentral:rRNA from 1 species